rnacentral:rRNA from 1 species
GUGCCAGCAGCCGCGGUAAUACGUAGGGUGCGAGCGUUGUCCGGAAUUACUGGGCGUAAAGAGCUCGUAGGUGGUUUGUCGCGUCGUCUGUGAAAUUCCGGGGCUUAACUCCGGGCGUGCAGGCGAUACGGGCAUAACUUGAGUACUGUAGGGGAGACUGGAAUUCCUGGUGUAGCGGUGAAAUGCGCAGAUAUCAGGAGGAACACCGGUGGCGAAGGCGGGUCUCUGGGCAGUAACUGACGCUGAGGAGCGAAAGCAUGGGGAGCGAACAGGAUUAGAUACCCUGGUAGUCC